CCCACGCGUCAGAAACUUGUUUUCCACGUCUAGGACUGUGACUUCUUGGGGAAGCAUGGUGAUGCCCACAUAUUCCACCUCUAGGUUUUUUUCUUUCUUGCCUCACAGCUAGCGCAAUGAUAACAAAGUAAAAGUGCUUUAUGUGACUGAACUCCUAAUAAGCCUGCUUCAGAGUGGGAAGGCAGCCCUGCAAGGAAUCCACUGGAUUUGCCAGCGGCCCAUCAAGGGGGAGUUUGGAGACUGGACACAGGAUGAACACUUGAGGAGCACAUGAAUCUCCUGUGAUUGGACCUUCCCUCUUUUGGAAAUCCAGUUAUCUUGCUGGCAAAGGUUGCAAGCCUGCAUAAAUGCAUUAGGAGAGAGGUCUCUCUCCUUCUGGCCACAUCACAUCGUCAAAGCACACUGAUUUGUGGGAAAGAUGGCCAGAGUUAGAAUCUUUGGGAGACCUGGGUAGAACUUUCAGUGUGGCCUGGCCUGUGAUUACUCCUGAUACUGAACAGGCUGUGUUCAGCCUCACUGAUUUCCCAUCUUCAGAAUGUGAUCAGGAUACUGCUACUCAAAAAAAUAAAAAUAA